rnacentral:tRNA from 1 species
GCGUAAAUAGUUUGGGAAAGGGCGCAAACCCUUAUAAAUCAAGGUGUUGCGAGGAUGGGUAAAAAAUAAGGAUUUGGGUUUAGGUCCUGACGCCCGCAAGGGUGUGCCGGUUCGAGUCCGGCCUCACGCACCA